UGCCCAGAAUUCCUGAAAGAGUUGUUAAGAAAGGGGAUCAAGUAUGAGGAGGACCCUGCCAAGAGGCGCAAGAAGAAUUAAAGUUGCAAACGGUGUAGAAGCUGAAGUCGAAGCCAUUGCAGAAUUUCAUUUAGAAUUACAUAGUGGCUUUGUACUUUGUUUGAGAGAUGUUCUUUAUGUACCGUCUUUGCAACGAAACUUAAUAAGUGUGUCUAAAUUAGAUGAUGAUGCUAUUGCUUGUCAUUUUGGUGAUGGCAAGUGUAAGAUACAAGUUAAUUCAGAAUGUGUUGGUCUUGCCUUCCGACAAGACAAAUUAUAUUUGCUUUCAUUA